CUCGUGAUGUGUGCAUGGUUUUCAUCUGUGUCUGGUAGCAGGGUCUGUCUGUGUUUUGCAUUCAGAUCUUGCUGUCCACACGGGCAUCAUGCAGCCAGAGAGUAAGCUGGGAUCAUAGUACUGGUCUCGUGCUGCGUCUUCGGACGUAUCUUCCACUGGCCAGCCUCCAAAUUCCCACACAGAA
ensembl:snoRNA